CAGGGAGACAACAAAAUGUUUAAUAUUAUUAUUUUGUCACCUUAAGUCGAUCGGUAUCUCACAUCCUAAUUUAUUAAGGAUUUCAUUUCCUAAGUUUUUCUAGGUCACACCCAUUAUUUUUCCUGGGCCAUUAGCUCAGGUGGUUAGAGCGCACCCCUGAUAAGGGUGAGGUCCCUGGUUCAAGUCCAGGAUGGCCCAUAUCUCUAUGUUGGGGGUAUAGCUCAGUUGGUAGAGCGCCUGCUUUGCAAGCAGGAUGUCAGCGGUUCGAGUCCGCUUACCUCCACUGAUUACCACCUCUUCCAUAAUCUGUAGAAAGGAAAAUUUUUGAGUUGUGAUCAUAAAUCUGAACGAAUCUAGCUUCCUAAUGAAACAUUAAGAUGCUGGACUCAUUGAAUUAAUUUCAUUGUUUUCAGAGAACCUUGACAACUGCAUAGAUUAUUUUUAAAGACAAUAAGCAUCUUUAUGAUGCAGAUUUAUUAUUUGUGCGAAUGCAUUAAUAACAAUUCUAUUAAGCUGAUGCUUCAAUUUUGAAGUUAUU
rnacentral:tRNA from 1 species